rnacentral:lncRNA from 8 species
UUUGGACAAUCUGCUAGGGGGAGUGAAUGAGUUCCUACUUCAGGGAGAAUGAGGAGAAACUGAGUUGGUCUAUUAUCUCAGGAAGUAGCCUGCUAGGAUGGGCUGUUCCUUCUACAACUACUGGAGGACUGCUGUUCCUUCUACAACUACUGGAGGACUGCUGUUCCUUCUACAACUACUGGAGGACUGCUGUUCCUUCUACAACUACUGGAGGACUGCUGUUCCUUCUAUAACUACUGGAGGACUGUUCCUUCUAUAACUACUGUAGGGCUGUUCCUUCUAUAACUACUGUAGGGCUGUUCCUUCUAUAACUACUGGAGGACUGUUCCUUCUAUAACUACUGUAGGACUGUUCCUUCUAUAACUACUGGAGGACUGUUCCUUCUAUAACUACUGUAGGACUGUUCCUUCUAUAACUACUGUAGGACUGUUCCUUCUAUAACUACUGUAGGACUGCUGUUCCUUCUAUAACUACUGUAGGGCUGUUCCUUCUAUAACUACUGGAGGACUGCUGUUCCUUCUAUAACUACUGUAGGGCUGUUCCUUCUAUAACUACUGUAGGGCUGUUCCUUCUAUAACUACUGUAGGGCUGUUCCUUCUAUAACUACUGGAGGACUGUUCCUUCUAUAACUACUGGAGGACUGCUGUUCCUUCUACAACUACUGGAGGACUGCUGUUCCUUCUAUAACUACUGGAGGACUGCUGUUCCUUCUAUAACUACUGGAGGACUGCUGUUCCUUCUAUAACUACUGUAGGACUGCUGUUCCUUCUAUAACUACUGUAGGGCUGUUCCUUCUAUAACUACUGGAGGACUGCUGUUCCUUCUAUAACUACUGGAGGACUGUUCCUUCUACAACUACUGGAGGACUGCUGUUCCUUCUAUAACUACUGUAGGACUGUUCCUUCUAUAACUACUGUAGGGCUGUUCCUUCUAUAACUACUGGAGGACUGCUGUUCCUUCUAUAACUACUGGAGGACUGCUGUUCCUUCUAUAACUACUGUAGGACUGCUGUUCCUUCUAUAACUACUGUAGGGCUGUUCCUUCUAUAACUACUGGAGGACUGUUCCUUCUAUAACUACUGUAGGGCUGUUCCUUCUAUAACUACUGGAGGACUGUUCCUUCUAUAACUACUGUAGGACUGUUCCUUCUAUAACUACUGGAGGACUGCUGUUCCUUCUAUAACUACUGGAGGACUGCUGUUCCUUCUAUAACUACUGUAGGGCUGUUCCUUCUAUAACUACUGGAGGACUGUUCCUUCUAUAACUACUGGAGGACUGCUGUUCCUUCUAUAACUACUGUAGGGCUGUUCCUUCUAUAACUACUGUAGGGCUGUUCCUUCUACAACUACUGGAGGACUGUUCCUUCUAUAACUACUGUAGGGCUGUUCCUUCUAUAACUACUGUAGGAUUGUUCCGGUACUCCAGAUGUAAUGCAACUCUACACACUAAUGAUGGUCUUUGUCCUUUGUGUUUAUCAAUAAAAUUAUUGUUUUGAAAAAGUUGUUUCUAUCAAUGAUUUUAUUUGUAUAUAAUGUCUAUAUAUCUAUGACUCUCCUCUCCACUGACCCUGCUGAGUGAGAGAACUUUACUAUUACACAACUUUUUUUAUUUAACCUUUAUUUAACUUCGCAAGUCAGUUAAGAACAAAUGUUUAUUUACAAUGACGGCCUACCCCGGACAAACCCGGACGACGCUGGGCCAAUUGUGCACCGUCCUAUGGGACUCCCAAUCACGGCCGGUUGUGAUAUAGCCUGGAAUCGAACCAUGGUCUGUAGUGACGCCUUUUCUAUAAUAUAUUAGUGAUUUGUUUGAAUUAUAGUCAUGCAAC